rnacentral:rRNA from 1 species
AACGAACGCUGGCGGCGUGCCUAACACAUGCAAGUCGAACGGAAUGAGGGGGCUUGCUCCUUCAUUUAGUGGCGCACGGGUGAGUAACGCGUAGAUAAUCUGCCCGACGAUUUGGGAUAACAGUUCGAAAGGACUGCUAAUACCGGAUAAGCCCACGGGGUCUUUGGACCUUGCGGGAAAAGGGGGGGACCAUAUCGCCUUCUGUCGUCGGAUGAGUCUGCGUACCAUUAGCUAGUUGGUAGGGUAAAGGCCUACCAAGGCUACGAUGGUUAGCAGGUCUGAAAGGAUGACAAGCCACACUGUGACUGAGAGACGGUCCAGACUCCUACGGGAGGCAGCAGUGGGGAAUUUUGCGCAAUGGGCGAAAGCCUGACGUAGCAACGCCGCGUGAGUGAUGAAGGCUUUCGGGUCGUAAAGCUCUGUCAGGGGGAAAGAAGUGUAUUGUGGCUAAUAUCCGCGAUACUUGACGGUACCCCCAAAGGAAGCACCGGCUAACUCCGUGCCAGCAGCCGCAGUAACAC